GCCCUUAAUUAAGGGUAUUGUCCAUGCAGUGUGCACAGAUGUCCUUCUCAUCUAGGGAUAAAAUGUUCCGCUGGCCCUUUAAGAAGCAGGAACGUGAGUUCCCGUUCUGCCCAGGAGUAUCGCGGGAGUUCACCUGCGAGCAGCGCGAUUUACAACGCGAUGCAGGUGCUUCUUAUGAAGUGUGAGAACCGGGAAGUUCUUGUGCAUGAAGCAAGACUUUAAGUUUAAAAUCACAGUGGAGCCACUGAGCAGUGAGACUAAGUAUACUCGUCAGGCUUACAUCUGAAGACCAAACAUCUGUUGUGAAGUUCAUCGCGGAGUGGUUAUGAAGAAGCUCGUGAAUAUGAUCCGUCAUACGGUUGUAUAACUCCGAAAUCAACUCUGAUAGUGUCACCCCUUUGGUGGAACGCACCAUUAGGAGUGACUGAUCUAGAUCAGACUGAGCGACUUUCCAGUAUCGGCAGAAGAUGGUCGGUGAGGAUGCAUCAUCUUCAGUCCUGGAUUUGUUCCCUCGUUUCCUUGCUGUAUCUGGAUUGAUCGACCAGGAUUUCUCCAUGAUGUUUGGUGACGAAGUGUCUCAGAAGUUCCUGGCAAAGUGGUCAACAUUCUUCAAGCCAAAAAUCAUUGCAGACUGCAAGACUCUUAAGAAUAUGGGCUAGCUGCUGUCAGGAACUGAACCUGAAUCUGAGGACUACAAUGUGAUGUGUCCUCAAUCCUUUUGCUGCUGCAUCUGUUCCCUCUAACCUCAAGAGGCCAGAAAAAAAACAUCCAAGAUCAGUUCAGCUCAAGCAACCAGCCAUCUUGUGAGCUAUUUUAAGGAAGGAGCCAGUGUGACUACCUUCAUUGAGAGUGCUGACACAAGACAACCAGUCCUCCUGAUGUUCUUCUUUUGCUCACCGAUGCAGAGAAGUUCUAUGUUAUUAUCGACCAAAAGGCGAUCCCAUGUAAGGCACACUCAUCAGUGGCAGCUUUUGAUGAACUGUUCAAAGUUCACUAUGUGUUCAGUUUCUCAUAUGAUGAAGCUCUUUGUUAUUUCUACACAUUGAUCCAAACCACUAUAACAUCGAUGUCGGAAGUACAAAGUAGAGCCUGCGUGUUAAAGAACUUCGAGCACGAUUGCUGCAGCAAGAUUAACAGCCUUGGAAAUGUUAACAUGUUUUGUAUGUAAAUCACACCUCAGAACUUGUUUGGUUCUUUGUCAACAUUUAAAAUUUCAACAUGGUUUAUAUCCUAGCAAAAGGUUACAUUUAAAAUGUGGAGAGCCAGGUUGCCCGUUAUCAUUUUGUACUUGUAGUGGCUUCCGAAAACACCUCAGCAAGGUAUGUAGUCACACUAUGGAUCAAGAGAUUGAUCCUAAUCAGGAUCUUUCCACUCAGGGAGAAUAUGAAGCGGAAUGUUCAAAUGAUCGCCCAAAUUCUGUUGCCACUUUAGAUACUUCACAAAGUUCUGUUGUUACAAGUCAGCUAUCUUGAAUGUGUGGAUCAAUUGUUGCUCAUUUGCAAGGAUCAGGUCUUUCUGAAAGUGCUGUCCAAACAAUUGUUUGUUCAAUGGAAGAAGUUGUUAAUGAUGUUAAAAUCCAAGCACGAGAUGCAGUUCUUAAAACUGUUACUCCUGAAAGUACAAGCCUGGAAUCUAACCCGGACUUCACAGAGGGUGCUUUUCAGGUAAGUAUUGUGCUGACUCAGCAAUUUGGUUUCAAAAUUGACAAGGAGCAUCCUAAGGCUCUUGUAUAUUUGAGCAACAUGGACUGUGUCUGCUACCCUUUUUUUGGGCAGAAUAAAUAAGGCUUGUGGAGUUCUUUGGGUGAAGGCUCAAUAUUCAAAACCCAGUUGUGCAUUGGCGGAGAAUCGAACCUGGCCUCAUGUGUGGCAGGUCAGAAUUCGACCACUGAACCACCAAUGCUUAUCUUAAAGGAUCAACGACAAUGCAGAGUGUGCUUUUCAUUAAGUAUUGUUCGGAUUAAACAGUUUGGUUUCAAAAUAGAAAAGGAGCACCCUAAGUCUCUUGUAUAUUUCAGCAGCAUUGAUAAGGCUUGUAAAGUUCUUUGGGUGAAGGCUCAAUAUUCAAAACUCUGCUGUGCAUUGGCCUGGAAUCAAACCCAGACUUCAAAGACUUUGCAGAGUGAAUGUUGUGGAUAAAAAAUGUCAUAAAAUAAACAUAAGGGAGAAGAAGGAAAAAAACGGGCACCUAGACACAUAGAAGCGGGAUUAGGCGGACAUUGACAGAUUGGAAUUACGAGCAAUUUAAGAGCAGUAAUAGUCAAAAAAAAAAAAAGUCAAAAAGAAGUGUACGAGCUGAGGAGUGCUAAAAACACACACACACUCGUACAGUCAAGGGCGGGCAAGUAGACACAACAUACAUACACACACACACUCUCUCUCCCUCAUACACACACAUGAAUAACUUUAAUAAUAUCUUAUAGUAAUAGAGAAACUAUUAAAAAAAACAAUAGUAGGAUAUGCAGGACAGUAGAACUGUAAUGAUAUUAAGAAGUUGGAAGUACAGUAAACCGCUUUUCAAGUAGUAUAAAUAUAUAUAAACUAAGAAAUAUAGUGCAAAUAUGAAAAUAAAUUAUAAACGAGAAAUACAGGAAAAAAAGGAAAAUAUAACUUACUCAUGAUUCAGGUGGUGAAGAUUGUCGUCUCGCAAGGAAAGCCGUAAUUUUUAGAGAACCAUGAAGAGAGCCAGUUAUAAGGGUGGGUCAAACUGCCCCCCCCCCCCCCCCCCCCCCGAGAUAACGAUAAGACCAAGGUCCCUCCCGGUUGUUUAGUCGUCUUGUCUACGUCAUUUUUUUUACCUAGGGAAUUGAGAAUCCUGAUUUCUGACUACCUAGGUAAAUGAGAAUCCUGGUUUUUAACCCCCUAGGUAAAUGAGAAUCCUGGUUUUUGAUGACCUAGGUAACUAGAAACUCUGGGUUUUUGUUUUCUGGGUUGUUGGAAAUGCCUGGGUUCUGAUUUUAUGUGUAAAUUAAAACCCCUGGUUUCAAUUCUAUGGGUAAGUGAAAUAGGCCUUUUCUGGAAACCUAUGGGUUAUCUAGUGUGUAAAUACAGUAUAAAUACUGGAGCUUAAGCUCAGGGUAGGAAGAUCACUUCUGAGAAUUCUCAUCGGUGUGGACCUCGUGUGGUGGAAUGAAACAAUAAAGCUGGACCCUUGCUUCUUCUCACUCACGGCUGGUGUAUUUUUUCUAUCUCCAAUUGGUCUCAGAGGUAGAUGUGAGUAUUGGCUUCUAAGUUGAAUUUUAAAUGUUUUUGGGUAAUAGGCUAAAUUCGAGCCAACAUGAGCUUUUCAGGUAAGUAUUGUGCUGAUUCAGCAAUUUGGUUUCAGAUUUUAAAAGGAGAAUCCUAAGUCUUCCUUAUUUCAGCAGCAGUCACACACUAUAUUUCCAGAUACUGUAUAAUAUUAUAAUAUCUCCUCUCUGCUCAACACGCAUGUAAUACAGUCUACAUACCGUAAAGCAGUGUUUUUCAACGACUGUGCCAUGGCACACUAGUGUGUCGUGAGAGAUCAUCAGGCGUGCCGUGAGAAAUUGUCCAAUUUCACGUAGUCUUAAAAUUCUUUUUUAUUAAAAUUUAUUAAUUAUUACCUGCAAAUAAUAAGUCAUGGUUGAGUGUCUGUGCUGUAAUAUAGUGACUGGCAGAGUAAUGUAAUAAUCGUCUAGGUGGCAGUAGGUAAUUGCCUCCUACCUUCUUAGAGACAAGAGAAUUAGUGACGCAUGCGACAGGUCGUGGUGUCAGUGAUGGAGAAGUUUUUAAAAAGGAAAAAUGCAAACUCCAAACUGGGCCCUGGACAAGAUUGUGACCCAGGUGAAGGGCCUAGUAUGAGUGGUGGUAAAAAGAAAGAAAAGACGGUGAGCUCGAGGCAAUACAGCGAAAGUUAUCUUUCAUUAGGAUUUACUUUCACCAGCUAUGAGAUGACCCCAACUCCAUUAUGCUUGGUGUGUGGCGAGAAGCUGUCCAAUAGCGCCAUGGUGCCAAGCAAGCUUAAACGCUAUCUCCAAGCGAAACACCCGUCGCUUCAAAACAAGCCGAUGGACUAUUUUGUUUGCCUGCAUGAACACACCGAAACAGGCAACAUUUAAUGAGAAAAACCACAAAGGUAAAUUAGAAAGCCCUCAAAGCUAGUUGCUGAACUUGUAGCUAAAUGAAAAAAGUCCCACACUGUGGCAGAGACGUUAAUACUACCUGCCUGCAAAGACACUGUCAACGAGAUGCUCGGCCCUGACGCGGUUAAAGACAUAUCUAAACUCCCGCUCUCAGAUAACACAAUCGCCAGACGUAUUGAUGACAUGUCUACAGACAUCGAAAGCCAUGUUUUGGAAAAGAUACGCAUCAGUAGGAGAUUUGCAUUGCAACUUGAGUCUAUGGAUAUUCUCAGCUCUUGGCCAAUGUGCGUUUUGUGGAUGGAGAUGCCAUUAGAGAAAACUUCCUAUUUUGUAAGGCACUGCCAGAAAAAACAACAGCAGAGGAAAUUUUUUGGGUCACAUCAGAAUAUCUUGACCAGGGAGGACUUACAUGGGAAAAUUGCACAAGUGUUUGUACUGAUGGAGCUGCAGCCAUGGUCGGGCACACCUAAGGCUUCGUUAGCAGAGUGAAGGAAAGAAACCCAGAUCUUAUUGUUACACACUGUUUUCUGCACCGUGACCCCUUCGUUGCAAAGACUUUACCAGCAGAACUAGUUCCUGUGUUGGAUGAUGUGCGCAUAGGGAACUUUGUAAAGACACAACCUUUGAAAAGUCGUAUAUAUUUGCAUCUUUGUGUGAGGAAAUGUGAGCGGAGCAUAAAGCCUUAUUGCUCCAUACGGAGGUCCGAUGGUUGUAGCGUGACAAGUUGCUGGCCCGUGUGUAUGAGCUGCGGGAGGAACUUAAAGUGUUUCUGACAAAUGAGAGGUCUGAUUACUCAAAUCUGUUUGCAAGUGAUGAGUGGUGUGCUGUUGUGGAUAAAAAUGACAUUAAAUAAACAUGAGGGAGACUUAGUAUGAGUAAAAAUGUAAUUUUAUUGGUAAUUCACAGGACGGGUGGGUGCGUAGUCUGGAGGAGAGCGAGAGGGGGAAGAAAAUGGGGUGCGUCCUGGGGACAUGGGGAAAUCAGCGAGGGUGAAGUGAACGGACCACUGAGUCCAGUAACGGAGAGAGAAGGGACUGACGACGGGCACCGGCACCUAGACAUGCAGAAGCAGUUUUAGUCAGAGGUGGAUAAAUUGGAAAAACACUUUAAAGAUCUUUAUGGGUUGUUAGUCAAAAAGUCAAAAGAAGUGUACGAGCUGAGGAGUGCUAAAAAACACACACACACACCCUCGUACAGUCAAGGGCGGGCAAGUAGACAUAAUACACACACACACAAUCUCUCUCACACAUACUAUUAUAACUUUAUAAGAAUAAUAAAAAGGAAUAUUAAGAUAUUAUAAGGGUAAUGUCUUAUAAUAAAGUGUAUAUAUAUACUUUUUAUAAAAAUGCUAUUAAGAAGUAGGAAGUACAGUAAACCGGUUUUUCAAGCAGCAUAUAUAAUAAGAGAUAUAGAGUAAAUCUGAAAAUAAAAACUAGAAAUACAGGAAAAUAUAACUUAAUCAUGAUUCAGAUGGUGAAGAUUCUCGUCUCGCAAGGAAGGCCUUAAUUUUAA